AGAGAGGGCUGCUCCUGGCUUCCUUGUGGUCCGCUCACAUCUCUCCUAUGUCAGGAGGCAUCACGUGCUAUAAAUACUACCCACACCAGCAUGCUUGCCAGAGAAUUGAGGAAAGAAAAUUUCUUGAUCAGAUUGUUUUUCCAGUGCCCCCUGAAGCUUCCCAGUACUCUAUGAUACUCCUUUGGAUGACUGUAGAACUACUGUAA
rnacentral:lncRNA from 1 species